UACGUAGGGUGCGAGCGUUGUCCGGAAUUAUUGGGCGUAAAGAGCUCGUAGGCGGUCUGUCGCGUCGGUCGUGAAAACCUGCAGCUUAACUGUGGGCGUGCGGUCGAUACGGGCAUGACUGGAGUUCGGCAGGGGAGACUGGAAUUCCUGGUGUAGCGGUGAAAUGCGCAGAUAUCAGGAGGAACACCGGUGGCGAAGGCGGGUCUCUGGGCAUUAACUGACGCUGGAGGAGCGAAAAGCAUGGGGGAGCGAACAGG
rnacentral:rRNA from 1 species